rnacentral:tRNA from 1 species
GUCGUUGUACCGAAGUGGUUAACGGGAUGGUCUCGAAUCGUGUAGUUUCGCGAACCAUUGGGCUCUGCCCGCGCAAGUUCGAAUCUUGUCGACGACG